rnacentral:rRNA from 1 species
UACGUAGGGGGCAAGCGUUGUCCGGAUUUAUUGGGCGUAAAGAGCGUGUAGGCGGCCACACAGGUCUGCUGUGAAAACUCGAGGCUCAACCUCGAGACGCCGGUUGAAACCAUCUGGCUAGAGUCCGGAAGAGGAGAGUGGAAUUCCUGGUGUAGCGGUGAAAUGCGCAGAUAUCAGGAAGAACACCCGUGGCUAAGGCGGCUCUCUAGUACGGUACUGACGCUGAGACGCGAAAGCGUGGGGAGCGAACAGG